UACGUAGGGUGCGAGCGUUAAUCGGAAUUACUGGGCGUAAAGCGUGCGCAGGCGGUGAUGUAAGACCGAUGUGAAAUCCCCGGGCUUAACCUGGGAACUGCAUUGGUGACUGCAUCGCUCGAGUAUGGCAGAGGGGGGUAGAAUUCCACGUGUAGCAGUGAAAUGCGUAGAGAUCGUAAGGAAGACCAGUGGCGAAGGCGAGUUUCUGGACAGUUACUGACGCUGAGGCACGAAGGCCAGGGGAGCAAACGGG
rnacentral:rRNA from 1 species